GAGAAGAACGUAGCGAAAUGCGAUAAGUAAUGUGAAUUGCAGAAUUCAGUGAAUCAUCGAAUCUUUGAACGCACCUUGCGCCCUUUGGCCAUUCCGAAGGGCAUGCCUGUUUGAGUAUCAUGAACACCUCAACUCUUCAUGGUUUUCCAUGAUGAGCUUGGACUUUGGGGGUCUUGCUGGCCUGUGGGUCGGCUCCUCUCAAAUGAAUCAGCUUGCCAGUUUUUGGUGGGCAUCACAGGUGUGAUAACUAUCUACGCUUGUGGUUUUCCACCAGGGUAACCUUCAGCAGUGGAGGUUCACUGGAGCUUACAAAUGUCUCUCCUCUGUGAGGACAGCCCUUUGAAUGUUUGAUCUCAAAUCAGGUAGGACUACCCGCUGAACUUAAGCAUAUCAAUAAGCGGAGGA
rnacentral:misc_RNA from 1 species